rnacentral:rRNA from 1 species
GGGCAGAGUUCAAUAAGCGGGGGAGAUUUCACUUAGCGGGUUGCAUAUCACUAUGUGGCUAUGGUGUGUCGACCUGGUUCCGACCCAGGCGGCCGGCGCACCCAGCCUUAACUGGCCAGGACGCCCGGCUAAGUGCCCGCCAGUAUACAAAACUCAAGAAUUCAUUUUGUGAAGUCCUGAUAUAUCAUUUAAUUGAUUAAAACUUUCAACAACGGAUCUCUUGGUUCUGGCAUCGAUGAAGAACGCAGCGAAAUGCGAUAAGUAAUGUGAAUUGCAGAAUUCAGUGAAUCAUCGAAUCUUUGAACGCACAUUGCGCCCUCUGGUAUUCCCGGAGGCAUGCCUGUUCGAGCGUCAUUUCAACCCUCAAGCUCUGCUUGGUAUUGGGCAACGUCCGCUGCCGGACGUGCCUUGAAGACCUCGGCGACGGCGUCCUAGCCUCGAGCGUAGUAGUAAAAUAUCUCGCUUUGGAGUGCUGNCCGACGCCCGCCGACAAUCGACCUUCGUCUAUUUUUCCAAGGUUGACCUCGGAUCAGGUAGGGAUA